rnacentral:rRNA from 1 species
ACGGCGUAGGAAUUCAUAGGAACGUACCCUCAGGACGGGGAUAGCUACGGGAAACUGUAGGUAAUACCCGAUGAUCUCCGCGGAGCAAAGGUGUGAUUCCGCCUGAGGAGCGGCUUAUGUGAUAUUAGCUAGUUGGUGGGGUAAUGGCCUACCAAGGCGAAGAUGUCUAGGGGGUGUGAGAGCAUGGCCCCCACGACCGGAACUGAGAUACUGUCCGGACACCUACGGGUGGCGGCAGUCGAGAAUCUUCCGCAAUGGACGAAAGUCUGACGGAGCGACGCCGCGUGCGGGAUGAAGGCCCUUGGGUUGUAAACCGCUUUCGGAGGGGAUGAAAUCCUCGAGGGUUCUCCCUCGAGGUUGACAGAGCCUCAAAAGAAGCACGGGCUAAGUACGUGCCAGCAGCCGCGGUAACACGUACUGUGCGAACGUUAUUCGGAAUCACUGGGCUUAAAGGGUGCGUAGGCGGCGAUUCAAGUCAGAUGUGAAAUGCCUGAGCUCAACUGAGGCAUUGCGUUUGAAACUGAAUUGCUAGAGUAUUUCAGGGGUGUGCGGAACUGCCAGUGGAGCGGUGAAAUGUGUUGA